GUUCCUUGCAUCAGAUAAAAACUGCACCAUAAAGAACCUUUCCCUCUAUAGUAACAUGAGCAAGUGCAAUUGUAGAUGGAGUGUUCAUCAGAAGCUGUACUUGGCAUUAUACCACUAAGGACAUUGGCAUUUGCAAGUCUCCUGUACAAUCAUACCAUGUCUUAUAGCUUGUGAUAGUGCCUAACAAAUGGCUGCUGGAAUCAGCAUGGCAUGCUCAACAGAUGAUAUGGUAGACUCAGACAAUUGGUAUGUCCCUAUGCAAUCACCUUUCUGUCUGAAUCAGUCAUUUCUGACCUUAUCUCUCCAUGUAGUUCUCUUAAGUCAAAAAGUUCUCUUAAGUUUUCCCUUUUCUUGAACUUUCAGUUGACUGAAUUUCACACCAUUCACAUCAGCACAGGGACUUCAGGAGAACUUGGUAUUCUGAAUUGAAUCAUACGUUCAGUGU
rnacentral:lncRNA from 1 species